CCUACGGGAGGCUGCAGUGGGGGAUAUUGCACAAUGGGGGGAACCCUGAUCCAGCGACGCCGCGUGGGUGAAGAAGCGCCUCGGCGCGUAAAGCCCUGUCAGCAGGGAAGAAACUGACGGUACCUGAAGAAGAAGCGCCGGCUAACUACGUGCCAGCAGCCGCGGUAAUACGUAGGGGGCAAGCGUUAUCCGGAUUUACUGGGUGUAAAGGGGGCGGAGACGGGGUUGCAAGCCAGGAGUGAAAGGCCGGGGCCCAACCCCGGGACUGCUCUGGGAACUGGGUGGCUGGAGUGCAGGAGGGGCAGGCGGAAUUCGUGGUGUAGCGGUGAAAUGCAUAGAUAUCAGGAGGAACACCGGUGGCGAAGGCAGCAUGCUGGACUGCAACUGACGUUGAGGCCCGAAAGCGUGGGGAGCGAACAGGAUUAGAUACCCCAGUAGUC
rnacentral:rRNA from 1 species